rnacentral:rRNA from 1 species
GUCCGGAAUUACUGGGCGUAAAGAGCUCGUAGGUGGUUUGUCGCGUUGUUCGUGAAAACUCACAGCUUAACUGUGGGCGUGCGGGCGAUACGGGCAGACUAGAGUACUGCAGGGGAGACUGGAAUUCCUGGGUGUAGCGGUGGAAUGCGCAGAUAUCAGGAGGAACACCGGUGGCGAAGGCGGGUCUCUGGGCAGUAACUGACGCUGAGGAGCGAAAGCGUGGGGAGCGGACAGGAUUAGAUACCCUGGUAGUCCACGCCGUAAACGGUGGGUACUAGGUGUGGGUUCCUUCCUUGGGAUCCGUGCCGUAGCUAACGCAUUAAGUACCCCGCCUGGGGAGUACGGCCGCAAGGCUAAAACUCAAAGGAAUUGACGGGGGCCCGCACAGGCGGCGGAGCAUGCGGAUUAAUUCGAUGCAACGCGAAGAACCUUACCUGGGUUUGACAUGCACAGGACGCCGGCAGAGAUGUCGGUUCCCUUGUGGCCUGUGUGCAGGUGGUGCAUGGCUGUCGUCAGCUCGUGUCGUGAGAUGUUGGGUUAAGUCCCGCAACGAGCGCAACCCUUGUCCUAUGUUGCCAGCGGGUUAUGCCGGGGACUCGUAGGAGACUGCCGGGGUCAACUCGGAGGAAGGUGGGGAUGACGUCAAGUCAUCAUGCCCCUUAUGUCCAGGGCUUCACACAUGCUACAAUGGCCGGUACAAAGGGCUGCGAUGCCGUGAGGUGGAGCGAAUCCUUUCAAAGCCGGUCUCAGUUCGGAUCGGGGUCUGCAGCUCGACCCCGUGAAGUCGGAGUCGCUAGUAAUCGCAGAUCAGCAACGCUGCGGUGAAUACGUUCCCGGGC